CCCAGUAAACGGCGGCCGUAACUAUAACGGUCCUAAGGUAGCGAAAUUCCUUGUCGGGUAAGUUCCGACCCGCACGAAAGGCGUAAUGAUUUGGGCACUGUCUCAACAAUGCACCCGGUGAAAUUGAAAUACCAGUGAAGAUGCUGGUUACCUGCGCCAGGACGGAAAGACCCCAUGGAGCUUUACUCCAGCUUGAUACUGGGAUUCGAUAUUGCAUGUACAGGAUAGGUGGGAGACUGAGAACUGAUGACGCCAGUUGUCAGGGAGUCACUGUUGGGAUACCACCCUUGUAGUAUUGGAUUUCUAACCAGCAGCCGUGAACCGGCUGGGGGACAAUGUCAGGUGGGGAGUUUGACUGGGGCGGUCGCCUCCGAAAGGGUAUCGGAGGCGCUCAAAGGUUCCCUCAGAAUGGUUGGAAACCAUUCGAAGAGUGCAAAGGCAGAAGGGAGCUUGACUGCGACACCGACGGGUGGAGCAGGUACGAAAGUAGGACUUAGUGAUCCGGUGGUAUAAAGUGGGAUUGCCAUCGCUCAACGGAUAAAAGCUACCCUGGGGAUAACAGGCUUAUCACUCCCAAGAGUUCACAUCGACGGAGUGGUUUGGCACCUCGAUGUCGGCUCAUCGCAUCCUGGGGCUGAAGUAGGUCCCAAGGGUUGGGCUGUUCGCCCAUUAAAGCGGUACGCGAGCUGGGUUCAGAACGUCGUGAGACAGUUCGGUCCCUAUCCGGCGUGGGCGUAGGAUAUUUGAGAGGAGCUGCCCUUAGUACGAGAGGACCGGGGUGGACUGGCCGCUGGUGGAUCUGUUGUAUUACCAAAUGCAUAGCAGAGUAGCCAAGCCGGGACGGGAUAAACGCUGAAGGCAUCUAAGCGUGAAGCCCCCCUCAAGAUGAGAUAUCCCAU
rnacentral:rRNA from 1 species